GUAGCCCUGUCUGUGGGUGGCCACCGGCCGAGAAUCUAAAGCAGACUGCACCCGGAGAAGAAGCAGGCUUGGUCGAUCGGACCGGGGUUCGAUUCCCCGCAUCUCCACCA
rnacentral:tRNA from 1 species